UUGUCAUUUUCUAUAAUUGUAAAACAAGAUGCAUAUGCUCAUCAGUUUAUUUUUUAAAAAAAUAAAAAAUAAAAAAAUGAAUUUCAGCUAAAAAUAGAAAGAAAUAUGCAGAAAAAGCAGUUGAACGAGUUAUGUCGAGGAGCGGCGUCGAGGUAGUGUUUGCGGGUGGGUUUGGGGGGCUUCGAGGCGAUGAGGGGCGGUGGUACCCGCAUUUGGACGUGGAUGUUGUGGAGCCGGGGAGAUGAGGGGUGAGGGAGGGGCAGAUCGGGCUCUAGAAGAAAGGGGAGAGAAAGAGAGAGAGAUGUAGAGGGGAGGAGGGGAGAGAAAGAAGAGAGUAAUGUUGGAGAUUGGGAUU
rnacentral:lncRNA from 1 species